rnacentral:lncRNA from 1 species
GUUUCAGUCAGCUGAUUGGUGGAGCCUCUCAGAGAACAGUCAUGCCAGGCUCCUGUGUGCAAGCAUAACAGAGUGUCGUCAAUAGUGUCAGGGACUGGUGCUUGUCCAUGGGAUUGGUCUCAAGUUGGGCCAGUUAUUGGUCGGCCAUUCCCUUUGUCUCUGCUCCAUCUUUGUCCCUGCAUUUCUUGACAGGACAAACUUCGGGUCAAAGUUUUGUGGAUGGGUUGGUGCCCAUCUACUGGGUCCUGCCAGGCUGGUACCAUAAAGGAGCAGACUCAAAUAAAGAAAAUCCACGCUCCGGUAUUCCAGCUGGCACCUGAGGCCGGCCGGCUGGAUGCAGCCCUGAGCAUCUGUGUCCCGUUGCCUUAUAGCCUCCUCCCAGCACAGUGUUUCAGUUUUGCUGUUCCUUAAAUAUCCUUGACAUCAUCAAUCCUUUGCUUGAUCUGUAUGUGGAAAAGAAGUAUUUCCUGACUCAUCACUCAGCUGCUGAUGUCAACAAGGGCAUAAGCUCAUGGUGGCAACCAUCUCACCCGGGCCAUACAUGAAGGACAGAAACAGUGUGCUCACAGAAGAAACACUACAUGUACACACAGUGCUUUAGUCAAACACUUGGGAAGUGGAUGGCUUACACACACAACCCCAUGUGCAACUUGUCAUGCACUGGCAGUCACACUCAAAAAGGGAUCCUCUGCAGGUGAACCACUUCAGAGAAGAUAUAGCUGCUGGUAAAUGGCUUUGGUUUCCAGACACAAUUUUCCAACUUCACAUUCACAGAUAAACAAAACAGAAGUGAUGGUUUGUAUAUGCUUGGCCCAGGGAGUGACACUAUUAGGAGGUGUUGGAGUAUGUGUGUCACUGUGGGUGUGGGCUUAAGACCUUCACCCUAGCUGCCUGGAAGUCAGUAUUCUGCUAGAAGCUUUCAGAUGAAGAUGUAGAACUUUCAGCUCCUCCUGCACGAUGCCAGCCAGAAUCCCAACAUGUUCCACCUUGAUGAUAAUGGACUGAACCUCUGAACCUGUAAGCCAGCCCCAAUUAAAUGUUGUCCUUAUAAGAGUUGUCUUGGUCAUGGUGUCUGUUCACAGCAGUAAAACCCUAACUAAGACAGAGGAAAUGUGUUUGGUUUUGUUGUUGUUGUUGUUGUU